CGUGACGCACUUCCGCUUCCGGCGAGGAGGUUUUCGGACCCCAGCCUGCUGGCCCUGGGGCGCGGGGCGUCGUGGGGGUGGUUGUCGUUGAGGGUGGUUGCCGUGUGUGGCGUCUUAGCUUGGCCCCUGGGUUGUGCCCCACUGACGCAGUCGACCCCUGUGAGCGCCUCGGGAGCCCCGAAUAGCAGCUGGGAGAAGGGGCGAGGACUGAGCCUCGCUUCCCGCUGCCGGCCGGGCUAGAGAUACGGGCGUGCCCCCCAUUGUGCGCCUCCCGCCCCCCGGUCCCCUCACCCUGCGGCCACCUGGGGCGUGGGGCGGUGCUCCUGCCCGUGCACGUAGCCGCUGCGAGCGGAGGCCUGCUCACCUGGUGCCUGCUACUCACUCCCCCGGGCCGGUGGGCGAAGGACACCCGCAGGAACUCGGCAGAGGAGAAAUCCAGACGGCUCCCGAGGAUGAGACAAGACCCCACGAGGACAGGCUCAGGACCACGAACAUCCUGCCUCUCCUAUAGCGGCCCCGUAGGCUAAGCCACAGGAGCCUCUGGAAACACAGGUGGUGCCCGCGCUGCCCCUUUGCCUGGACAACCCUACUCCACACUGAGCUCCAAGUCUCAGCUCCCACAUUCUUUUGCUGACCCAAGCCCUCGUCAGCUUGUACAGAUAAAGUCUCGCUCUGUCACCCAGGCUGGAGUGCGGUGGUGCGAUCUCGGCUCACUGCAACCUCUGCCCCCAGAGUUCAAGUGAUUCUCCUGCGUCAGCCUCCUCAGUAGCUGGGACUACAGGCAUGAGCCACCACACCCGGCCAGGUGCUCCUCGACCACCCGUGAGGCCACGUCCUGAUAAACCCGUGGUAGGUUAGAAAUACCGACAGCUGAAAUGCGCUAAUACACUUAACCCACGGAACAUCACAGCUGAGCCUUCUUGCCUUAUACACACUCAGCACCCUUCCAUUAGCCUACAGCUGGGCGAAGUCAUCCCCCACGAAGCCUCCUUUAUAAUAAUGCAUCAAAUGCCUCA